UCCCUGGUGGUCCAAUGGUUAAGACUUUACACUUUCAAUGCAGAGGGCAUGGGUUCAAUACCUGGUCAGGAAA
rnacentral:tRNA from 1 species